rnacentral:pre_miRNA from 1 species
CUUGUACUCCCUCCAUCCGGAAAUACUUGUCAUAGAAAUGGAUGUAUCUAGAUGUAUUUUAGUUCUAGACACAUCCAUUUUGAUGACAAGUAAUUUCGGACGGAGGGAGUACUUG